AAAAAAAUGAGAUUGAAGUUGAAAUUUGAAAACCCUAGAGAAUUUUAUUUUUUGGUUUUUGAAAACUGGGAUACGAUGGGUUUUAGUAUUAUUCUUAUUGAGUUCUAAAAUUGGCUUCUGGGCUUUGUAAUAUAGUUCACAAUAUUAGUUGGCGUCAGAAGGAAGCUAUGAAAGCAGUAUAUAAGUGAAAAAUUGCACAGAAAGAGCUCUCUGAUAAAGACUUGAUGGGCUUAGUUAU
rnacentral:misc_RNA from 1 species